rnacentral:rRNA from 1 species
AACGGGGGGGGCAGGUGUUGCUCUUAUGGACUGGGCGUAAAGGGCACGUAGGCGGUUUGUCAAGUAUAAAAUUAAAGGCCAGGGCUUAACUUUGGUAAUCGUUUUUAUAUACUGACAAGCUUGGGUUACUUAAAGAAUGACCGAAUUUCCAGUGUAGGGGUUGAAUCCGGCGAUAUUGGAAAGACGAACAAAGGCGAAGGCAGUCUAUUACGUAGUAACCGACGCUGAGAGGCGAAAGCGUGGGGAGCGAACAGG